UUCUCUUUGAUGAUCUAUUUAUGUUUAUCUGAUUAUUAUUAGAAUCCAUCUGGGCUCUUCUUCAGUUAGUCUUUCAAGUCAUUCGUCUCCAAGAUUCGACAUUUCAUUCCUCACUCUAACCCCGUUCAUUUGUCUUGCAGAUUACUUCUCUAUCCACUUUCUUCUUUCCGCAGUCACACUCCACGCCGGCUUGCUUAUUUUCUCACCAAAUCGUCGACAUCGAUUGUUGGUUUUCAGUUGCCAACGCCGAUCGCCAAUUAUUUACAGUAAAGGGUCGCCGCCGAUAAGUCCUCAAUCUUAAAGCUGUAUCACUUCCAAGGUUCAUAUUUUUUUUCUUUUGGGUUUUUCUUGGCUACACAUAUAGUCAUUUGAGCUUUGAAGCCAUCUUUGGUUGAUUAGUAUUGCGAUUGUUGUAUAAAUUGUGGUUUUUUCUUUAUUUCGAUAUGGUCAUUUGAGCUUGGGACCAAUUUUUGGUUGAUUAUUAUAAGAUUUUUUUGGGGGGUAAUUUGUCGAAGGUUUUUGGAUGGGUUCGAAGCCGUGGCUGUAUCCAGUGUUGGGAAUCUACUUAUACAUGUAUAGCGAAAAAUUAAAAUUAUUUCAAUUCCCACCGAGGAUCCCUUUGUGUUUAGAUAAAAAUCGUGAUAAAGAUUGUAUUUUUUAAGAAUUCUACAAACAUUUUGCUUUUCUUUUUCUCCCUGCAAUAUUGAUUCGUCAUCC
rnacentral:lncRNA from 1 species